rnacentral:rRNA from 1 species
GACGAACGCUGGCGGCGUGCUUAACACAUGCAAGUCGAACGGAAAGGCCCUGCUUUUGUGGGGUGCUCGAGUGGCGAACGGGUGAGUAACACGUGAGUAACCUGCCCUUGACUUUGGGAUAACUUCAGGAAACUGGGGCUAAUACCGGAUAGGAGCUCCUGCUGCAUGGUGGGGGUUGGAAAGUUUCGGCGGUUGGGGAUGGACUCGCGGCUUAUCAGCUUGUUGGUGGGGUAGUGGCUUACCAAGGCUUUGACGGGUAGCCGGCCUGAGAGGGUGACCGGCGACAUUGGGACUGAGAUACGGACCAGACUCCUACGGGAGGCAGCAGUGGGAAAUAUUACACAAUGGGCGGAAGCCUGAUGCAGCAACGCCGCGUGCGUGAUGACGGCCUUCGGGUUGUAAACCGCUUUCGCCUGUGACGAAGCGUGAUUGACGGUAAUGGGUAAAGAAGCACCGGCUAACUACGUG